rnacentral:rRNA from 1 species
UACGGGAGGCAGCAGUGGGGAAUAUUGGACAAUGGACCGAGAGUCUGAUCCAGCAAUUCUGUGUGCACGAUGAAGUUUUUCGGAAUGUAAAGUGCUUUCAGUUGGGAAGAAAAAAAUGACGGUACCAACAGAAGAAGUGACGGCUAAAUACGUGCCAGCAGCCGCGGUAAUACGUAUGUCACGAGCGUUAUCCGGAUUUAUUGGGCGUAAAGCGCGUCUAGGUGGUUAUGUAAGUCUGAUGUGAAAAUGCAGGGCUCAACUCUGUAUUGCGUUGGAAACUGUAUAACUAGAGUACUGGAGAGGUAAGCGGAACUACAAGUGUAGAGGUGAAAUUCGUAGAUAUUUGUAGGAAUGCCGAUGGGGAAGCCAGCUUACUGGACAGAUACUGACGCUAAAGCGCGAAAGCGUGGGUAGCAAACAGGAUUAGAUACCCUGGUAGUCCACGCUGUAAACGAUGAUUACUAGGUGUUGGGGGUCGAACCUCAGCGCCCAAGCAAACGCGAUAAGUAAUCCGCCUGGG